rnacentral:misc_RNA from 1 species
CUCGUGCCGGCACGAGCUCUAUCUUAUAUCUUAUGAAUGCAACUCAAACACUUUAAUUAAGCUAAGGCCUUACUAGACAAAUGGGCCUCGAUCCCAUAACAAUUUAGUUAACAGCUAAACACCCAAUCCAGCGGGCUUUUGGCUACCUUUCCCGCUCUCUAAAAAGCGGGAAACCCCGACACCAACUAAAGUGUAUCUUCAAAUUUGGAAUUUGACAUGAAUUUCACUACGGCGUUUGAUAAGAAGAGGAAUUAAACCUCUGUCAAAAGGUCUACAGCCCAACGCUUAACCACUCAGCCAUCUU